rnacentral:rRNA from 1 species
UACGUAGGGAGCAAGCGUUGUCCGGAAUCAUUGGGCGUAAAGCGCGCGUAGGCGGCCCCGUAAGUCCGCUGUGAAAGUCAAAGGCUCAACCUUUGAAAGCCGGUGGAAACUGUGGGGCUAGAGUCCGGAAGAGGCGAGUGGAAUUCCUGGUGUAGCGGUGGAAUGCGCAGAUAUCAGGAGGAACACCAAUAGCGAAGGCAGCUCGCUGGGACGGUACUGACGCUAAGGCGCGAAAGCGUGGGGAUCAAACAGG